AUUUCCAUAAAUAUUUAAUUAAACCAACCAAUAAAACAAUAAUUAAACCGUAAGUCAAAAAUACUAUUUUAUGAAUAAAUAAAUAAUUCAACCAACAAAACCAAGAAUGACUAACAAUCCUAACACAAUACUAACCGGUUCUAAUAACCAAAACACAAAAAUAAACCAAACGAGUUCCUAGAUCAUCCUCUCUUCCUUGCCAUGAUUUCACGAUCACACUUUAUCUUUACCUGCAUCAACAAUACAAUGAGAUGCGUAAGUAUUAUCACAAAUACUUAGUGAGGCGAUCCUCCCAUCUACGAGCUAUACACACAAGCAAUUAAAA
rnacentral:sRNA from 1 species